UAGGGAAUCUUCCACAAUGGACGCAAGUCUGAUGGAGCAACGCCGCGUGAGUGAAGAAGGUUUUCGGACCGUAAAGCUCUGUUGUUGGUGAAGAAGGAUAGAGGUAGUAACUGGCCUUUAUUUGACGGUAAUCAACCAGAAAGUCACGGCUAACUACGUGCCAGCAGCCGCGGUAAUACGUAGGUGGCAAGCGUUGUCCGGAUUUAUUGGGCGUAAAAGCGAGCGCAGGCGGAAGAAUAAGUCUGAUGUGAAAGCCCUCGGCUUAACCGAGGAAUUGCAUCGGAAACUGUUUUCUUGAGUGCAGAAGAGGAGAGUAGAACUCCAUGUGUAGCGGUGGAAUGCGUAGAUAUAUGGAAGAAUACCAGUGGCGAAGGCGGCUCUCUGGUCUGCAACUGACGCUGAGGCUCGAAAGCAUGGGUAGCGAACAGGAUUAGAUACCCUGGUAGUCCAUGCCGUAAACGAUGAGUGCUAAGUGUUGGGAGGCUUCCGCCUCUCAGUGCUGCAGCUAACGCAUUAAGCACUCCGCCUGGGGGAGUACGACCGCAAG
rnacentral:rRNA from 1 species